UGAGAGCAGGCAAGGUUACCCGCCAAAUUUAAGCAUAUUAAUAAGCGGAGGAAAAGAAAACAACCGUGAUACCCUUAGUAAUGGCGAAUGAAACGGGUAGAGCCCAGCACCGAACCGCCGGCCAUCUCGGUCGCGUGGAAUGUGGUGUUUGGGAAAGCCUCAUCGCAGUGAGCCGAAGCGUUCAAGUACACCUUGACUGGGACCACGGCCCGUAGAGGGUGAUAGGCCCAUGAGACCUUUGGCUUGCUGCGCUGGCUUUUCCCUAGAGUCGAGUUGUUUGGGAGUACAGCUCAAAGCGCGUGGUAAACUCCACGUAAGGCUAAAUAUGACCCCGAGACCGAUAGCGAACAAGUACCGUGAGGGAAAGUUGAAAAGCACUUUGAAGAGAGAGUUCAAGAGUACGUGAAACCGCUUAGUAGUAAACAGAGGGACUCUCGAAGUCGGCGGUGACGGUUCAGGGUGACGGCGGGGCGGCCUGGGGGCGUGGGAUCCGCAAGGACCCUGUCCCUUUGUCAGCUCUGUCGGCGCCUGCACUUCGUUGCCGCCAUACGCGAUGAACCGCUUCUGGCGGACCGAGGGCGUGGGUGAAGUUUGUUGGCCUCGGCUUUCAAGCCCCGCGUUCCUGGCUCUGUCGGGGACGGGUAGUAGAGCGAUCUCUUAUAGAGAGUGCCCUUGCUGGCACGGUUCGCAUCUCUAUCGCGAGUAGGUCGGCGGUCCCUCUGACCCGUCUUGAAACACGGACCAAGGAGUUUAACAUGUGCGCGAGCCAUUGGGUGUUCGAAACCCAAAGGCGCAGUGAAAGCAAAGUCUGACUUGUCAGAUGAGGGGUGAUCCUUCACGGGCGCAACCCCGGAGCUUCGCAUCGACCUCGCUUCGUGCGGAGCAUCAAGAGCGUACACGUUGAGACCCGAAAGAUGGUGAACUAUGCCUGGCCAGGUUGAAGUCAGGGGAAACCCUGAUGGAGGACCGUAGCGAUUCUGACGUGCAAAUCGAUCGUCUGAGCUGGGUAUAGGGGCGAAAGACUAAUCGAACCAUCUAGUAG
rnacentral:rRNA from 1 species